GGAGACCACGGCUCUCUGCGGCUUGGCUGUAGCUUUAGCGCUGUUGGGCUGAUGGCCUGGAGUUCAGCCAAGUCCCAAUGCGCAUGACGUCUGAGACCUCAGUGAGACAGGAAGGACCAGCCUGGGGCCCCUUAGGGGACAGUGACCCCAGCUGGAUGAAAGAGAACACCUGCUCUUUGCCUGGCUGGUUAGGGUCACUUUGCACGUUCACACCCAGAGGAAAUUUGAACCCUUCCACCACCUGAUCCCACCAGCAGCGGCUGACCCAGGACAGGGGAGUGAGAGAUGUCCAGGAUCCAACAAGGAGCCUUCGGAGAGGUUGACACUAACUCCUCAGGAAAAUCCCUGCCUCUUCUACUAUCGAGACUGACGUAUGUUUCUGAUUCUGCUAACCAACUGGACACGUGUUUUUGAUGAUACAACAUGAAGCAGAAAUGGGAAGAUGAUCUGAAAUUACUUCUUGAAUCAGAUGACUGGGAUGAAUUCGGAAAAGAGCCAAGGAACAUGGGAUUUUGCUUUUCCUAAGAGUGAUCUCACUUACGGUGGUUGAGGGGGUGAUCUGUACCCCUGCACAUGUGGAUGGAGUCUAAAGAGGAGAAGAGGACAAUUGUCCCAGCUAAUACCACCCCAAGUCUUUCUCCAUUAGUGAGUGACCUGUAAUGACCCAUGGGGCAUACUUCAGUGUGAGCCUCUAAAAUUUUUCUUGUAGGGGAUCAAACUGUAUCAUUGUAUAUUUUAUUUGUCUCGUGUGUGUAAGAGAAAGCCCAGCAUAGUGUAAGUUCAGAUGCUUCUUAAUAGAAAGGCCCAAGGAAGGUGGAGCUUCAGUAUUUUACUGACAAUGUAUUGGAGAUGAUUGUAGGGUCCAGGAAGGACUUUACAGAGACUCAUAGAUUUUUCAGGUAGCCAUUCCUUAAAUUCACAAAGCAUGAAAAUUGCCUAGAUCUGGGAACCUAAGAAUAGAUGUAUUAGACCUCUUUGCAGGAAACAGAAACCACUCUAGGUGUGUUAAACAGAAAAGGCUCUAAUACAGGGAAUUUUUUCUUUACAAAAUCAAUGGGAGACCUAAAGAAACAGGCUUUAAACUGGGCGUCUGGAAUCUCUCCUGUAAGAAUAUAGAACUGGACAAUGGGAGAGCUGUAACCUCUGAGGCUACUCCUGGGGCUGACCUGAAAGCAAGAAGCUGCUGCUGCAUCUGCUUCUGAUGGAAAAGGAGCACUCAAAGCUGCCAUCUGGGGAUUAGGAAGCCAGACCAAGACACCCAGGAACUGGAGGAUGGACCCUGGGCUGUCAUUGCUGGAAAGCCCUACGUCUCUGUGCCUACGCUGUGGCAGCAGUGGUCAGGCACUGCAGGAAGAGGGCACCUACCUCACUACCGCCUUUUAAAGGCGUCUGUUUGGUGCAGGCUAAUUUUUAUCCAGACCCCUGGAUGCACGGAAGCUUUGAAAAUGCCUUCUAACUCUUCCAUCUGACAGAGGAGAGGGCAAAUGGGCCUUUCCAGAGAGCCCAGCAGAGGAGGUGACACCAACAGGUACUGGAUGGCUAAAGUCGAUUUGUGCAAUAUUAAUUCUUCAAGAAAUGUUUGAGUCAGAAACACAUCACACUUCGGGUGGGUAAAUUGCGGAAAGCAGCCAUUUCUCCCAGUUUCAACGUGUGACACUAGCUGCUUCUGUUUCAGCUCUAUGGUACUUUGGUUUGUGGCCUUGAACAAGCCUCAGUUCCCAUAGUUGUGAAAGGAGAUAUGUGACAAGCUUGAAGGGGUGAUUUCUCUUUUAGCUCAGAGUUUGGUCUAGAGCUGGGCAUGUCUUAUAAGCACUUCUGUGAAAAGCAACUCUUUGUUCUUGGGUUUGCCACAUUUUAGGCACACUUCACUGGGUGAUUUUCUAAGAGCUCGUGAAGAUCAAAGUGAAUUAGGAGGAAGAAAAACUUGUGGAAAGGUUGAGGAAGCACUAGAACAGUGGGCUAUUGGACAAACAGCAGUGUCUGGUAUGAGGCUGGCAUCAUAGUUUCCAGGAUCUGUUCUGUUUGCUAUCUCCAGCAAGCCUCCUUUUGCAGAUGAGAAAACUGAGGUCGGGCAGCUUUGUGACUUUGGAGAUGAUGUUUUAGAGACCCCAUGACAAUGAUAGGGCUGGGAUACAGACGCAUGUGUCCCAGUGCUCUGGCCCCGUGAUGUGUGAACUCCACCCACCAUCAUAAAGGGCACCGUCUACUUGGAAGUCUCCCGGUCUCUAGCUGGGCUCCUGGGAUGAAGAGGAGGAUAGGGAGGGACAUGACGGGUGGAAGCUAGGGUCCUGUUCUGCCUGCCACCCUGGGCUUCAGGGAAAUGCUGGUAAAUGUUUAACAACUGACACCCUUCCCCACCAAAAAUAAAAAGCCCCAAGUUAUAGCA